CUCAGUUCUAUGGGUUGGCAGGGCUCCACUGGGAGGUUUUCACUUGGGUCUCUCAUAUGAAUGCAGACAAUAGCUGGGGUUGCAGUCAUCUGAAGGCAUCCUCACUCACAUGCAUAGUGGCAGCUCACGCUGGCUGUGGCUAGAACCUCAGCUGGGGCUGUGGGCCAGAACACUAUAUACAGCCUCUUCAUGAGCCCUGGGCUUCUUCCCAGCAUAGGGGCUGGGAUUUAAGAGCAAGUGGACUGAGAGAGAUCCAGAGGAAACCAUUCAUCUUUUAUGAUAUAGCCUCAGAAACAGUGGUGCACUUGUAUUUAUUAAUCAGCUGUGUGUGUGUGUGUGUGUGUGUGUAUGUGUGUGUGUGUGUGUGUGUGUGAGAGAGAGAGAGAGAGAGAGAGAAUAAUUUUCUGGCCCCUAUGACAUAGGUAAUCUCUCUGUGGUUGUUUUCAGGCUGUGAGCAUGGAGCUAGGAGAAGAUUAGCACUCUGGUUAGCUGGUAGAAAGGGCUUCUGCACCCAGCUGCCCUCAGUGAUUACACAUCAUUUUACCUGCACUCUGUGGGUUGAAGUAACUGAAGGCUCACCUGGAGGAGAUGACUCUGCCUCUUGAUGGCGUAUUGGAGAGGUCAUAGUGUAAGAAGAGCGUAUGGAUGGGAGAUGUUAAAGCCAUCUUUGGAAAAGUCAAUCUGCCACAAUCGCCAAGAACGAAGAUCCAAAGGAAUGCACAGAAGAAAAUGAAAUGUAGAGAAAGUCCCCUGAAAUUGGCAAGGAGGUGGGAUUCAGUUCAACAGAGGGGCCUAUGUUUGAAGAAUACUCUGUUGGGUUUGAGAUGCAAGCUGGAGAGCAGGAUAGGGAGAGGGGGAUUUCCGUGGAAAUUAGUAGGAAGAAUCUGGGAUCUCCAGCCAGCAAUAACUCCAGAAUUUCUACACUGCAGGAAAUUGAAGAUUUGGCUGGAAGGGAGACCCAAAGCUAAAGCUCCUUCUUCCAGCCAAAACUUGACACUCACCGGUGUUCCAAGGAGUGACCUGAGAGGCAAGGAUUGAGGACCAGUGACAGAAGAUAAGUAACUUGGCAAGAUGCACACAGCUCUGUCUAAGCUGCACAAUGUGACCCCCUCUGAAGCCCUCUUCCCACCCCAACUUAUCAUUUAAAUGCUGUGUAAGUAAACACUUCAGAAGAUUAAAUGCUUCACAGAUUACCUAUGUUAAUAGGCAAAAUGCCAAGCAUACAGAAAUCCCUCAAAAAAUGUCUACUUCCUGCCUUUUCUCCCCACACCCAUGUCAUAUGCUGUAUUACAUAGAAGGCAGGGCAGAGGUUCUGUCUUGUCUAUCUCUGUACCUGC
rnacentral:lncRNA from 13 species